CCUCCACAUGACACUGAACCGAAGUAAAUGCAGAAACAUACCUGUUAGUUAACGUGUUUUGCCCCGAACAAAAUUCAGUUCUCGUAACAGUCAGUCUGAUGAGGAUGAAAGUGAAGGUUUUAAAAGUAUCCCUCAACUUUUAUGAAGACAGUCAUUUGUGAUUUGAAAUGUCUUACCUGGAAAAUAAUGGACAUCACUGCCCUCGUGCGGUCAUAGUGUUCACCCAUCUCAUUCGCUGCCGUAGGUACAGACAACUACUCUCCAAGACGUAUUCAUUGCGUGCAAUGAGUGAUUGACAUAUUUGUCUACCAAUAGUAAUACAUCAUGGAAAUGUUCUCGUCCAAUCCAGACAGAGGAUAUACCAAACCAACCGGAAUCAACGUUAAAUAUAGCAUGCCGAACAGUUGCUUUUUCUUGUCAUUGUAUACUCUGCAAUUACAGUAAAAGUGCAGACAUCAGGAAGCUGAGCAAAUCUAGGCUCGAGUUAAGCAGGUGUGGUUUGUGAAGAUGGAGGGAGAGCAUCCUCAUGAGGAGAAGCAGACUGAAACUGCUUGCUGUGCAUCCCAAUGUCCCAAAGAUGGAGAGGAGAGGCAGGGACAAGGGGCUAUGUUAUGGUCCAUCCAGGAGGCAGUGGAGAGGCAGACCAUGCAGAUAGGAACGUCCGCCUGUGGGGCAACGGCCGUAGUGGACGUCCUACAGGCCCUCGGCAUCGUUGUGGCACCCGAGACGGCUGACCGGUGUGUGCGGACGUGCCUGAGGAGGAACGAGGCGCCGCUGCCUGAUUACCUGUUCUCCCGGAGCGAGGCUGGCGCCACACACGCACAGCUGAUAGCUGGGGCGGAGCAGGCUAGUGGUGGGCGCGUGCUGGGUCGCCACUUCCCCCUCCACCCUCGCCGGCGGGUGAGGCUGGUACCCUGGCUGGCACAGUGGAUCCAGAAAGGGGCAGUUCCCGUGGCCACCAUGAACAUGCAGCUGGCAGUGCCAGAGGGAGAGGAGGUUCCCGACGCAUGGCACCACCAACUCAUCUUUGGGGUCGGACCCGACACUGUCUAUAUGACCAAUCCCCUGGAUGUGGUGAGUGAGCGGGAGGUGCAUCAGCGACUCUGCAGUGAAUCUGUGUUGCUGAUACGUCGAGAGGAUGUGCUGCUGAGAUUGACAGCUGACGCCCCUCUGUCUAGCCUAUCGGACGACCAGUCUGACCCACGCUGGAAAGCCCUGGAUGUGGAGGGUCAAUUGAGGCAGAUGAUUCGUGAGGAAGACCAUGAUGAUGAAGAUCAGUUUAGGAUGAGCCAUGUCAUGAUCCCCGCAGCGUACAGUUCAGGUGUGACAGUCUUCGCCCUCAGAGAUUCAGACCAAGGACAGGAGCUUCUCCACGCCCCUGAACUCCCUUUGCUUUGAUAUGGCUGGACAGUGGACACAUCAUUACCAAAGAUCUUGCGGUGAUUGGACAAUGCAUCUUUGACCUUCCCACUAUUGUUACAUUUAUUCGGUGAGGGGAAAUGUUCAGAAACUGGUGAUAGAAAUGUCAUUAAUAGAGCUGACAUGGUUCCUUAUUCUACAGGUAAGAGAGGCUUGGCUGUUCUACAUAAUAUAUUUCUAUCUGAACAUCCCACAAUGUUGCACCCUGCUGAAUGUGCCCCAGGCGUAUUCAGUGAGGUGAAACACUCAAAAACUGAUAUAAACUAUAGAAUUGAUAGAGCUGACUCAAUUUCCUAUUCAGACAACUCAUGAUUCUGAUAUGUCUAUCUAUAAUAUUGGCCAGUCAUGUUGUACACAAUACAUUUUUAUCUGAACGUUCAGUAACGUCACUCCGACCUGAACGAGGCCCUGCUGCUGUACAGUAGGAUAUCCGUCCCUGACAGUAAUACCUUGUUUGAACACUUUUCUGGGUCGUAUUCACUGACAUCAAGCAGAAGAAAAUUAACCGAAACAGGAAGUGACUCCCUGAACUUACCCAAUAAGAAACAUUCAUUUUCCUUUUCCAUUAAAUAACGUUUUGCUACAGUAUGCACUAAUGAAUACGACCCUGAUCUUAUGUGUGUGACGUUAAGAAUAGCCUACUUGAUGUAUGCCCCUGCACCAGUGGAGGCUGCUGAGUGGAGAACGGCCCGUAAUAAUAGCUGGAACUGCGCAAAUAGAAUGGCAUCAAACACAUAGAAACCAUGUGUUUGAUGUAUUUCAUACUAUUCCACUAAUUCCGCUCCAGUCAUUACCAAGGGCCCGUCCCCCCCAAUUAAGGUGCAACCACCCCCUGUGCCCUGCACAUUGAAAUGGUUGCACAGUUUGAAACCCUUUCUACUGCAGCAGGACAAUCAACCCUAAUGCGCCACUCUGUGCAAUACCAGAUAAGCUAAAUCAUGUGGCACUGGAAUGUAAAUGUGAUGUUGUGCUCAUCUACACAGAUACAGAUUAGGUAUAUAUCUGAGUGUGCUCAUGAUUUGCAGUUUUCUGUGGUCAAGAUUUUUGGCUACAACUUAUUUGGCCAGUUUCCCAGACACAGAUUAAGCCUGGUCCUUGACUAAGAAUGAUGUUCAAUGGAGAUUCUCCAUUAACAGUAGCAGUUGAGUCCAGGACUAGGCUUGAUCUGUGUCCAGGAAACCAACCAAAUAUGAAAUUAUGUUUAAAUCAAUCAAUGUGUAUCUGUUGUCGUUCCAGGUUGUGAUGUUUGUCAUGUUAACUCCCUUUUAUUUGUAAGCUAUCAAAAUACAUAAAGAGGGUCGCACGAUCUACAUAUAAAAACUCCCAGUCAUUUCUUGGGUGAAACACCAAGGUUUCUGCAUCACUGUGCCUUCUUCAGGGUAAUGUCAUGAAUGCUUGAACCAGGUUAUGAAGACAAACGGUGCAAUUAGUGUAACCAAUGACAAUAGUGAGGGGUGUGAAUGAAUUGAGUGAAACUGUUAAAUACAGUGCAUUCGGAAAGUAUUCAGAUCCCUUCCCUUUUUCCACAUUUUGUUACAUUACAGCCUUAUUAUAAAAUGGAUUAAAUAAAAAAAUCCUCAUCAAUCUACACAAAAUACCCCAUAAUGACAAAGUGAAAACAGGUUUUUAGAAAUGUUUGCAAAUUUAUUCAAAAUGAAAAACAUAACUUAUUUACAUUAGUAUUCUUUGCUAUGAGACUCAAAUUGAGCUCAGGUGCAUCCUGUUUCCAUUGAUCAUCCUGGAGCUGUAUCUACAACUUGAUUGGGGUCCACCUGUGGUAAAUUCAAUUGAUUGGACAUGAUUUGGAAAGGCACACACCUGUCUAUAUAAGGUCCCACAAUUGACAGUGCAUGUCAGAGCAAAA
rnacentral:lncRNA from 1 species